rnacentral:rRNA from 1 species
CACGUAGGGCGCAAGCGUUGUCCGGAAUUAUUGGGCGUAAAGAGCUCGUAGGCGGUCUGUUGCGUCCGCUGUGAAAACUCGGGGCUUAACCCCGAGCCUGCAGUGGAUACGGGCAGACUAGAGGUAGGUAGGGGAGAAUGGAAUUCCCGGUGUAGCGGUGAAAUGCGCAGAUAUCAGGAGGAACACCGAUGGCGAAGGCAGGUCUCUGGGCCAUAACUGACGCUGAGAAGCGAAAGCGUGGGGAGCGAACAGG